UAGAGUUUGAUUAUGGCUCAGAAACUCAAAUGAAUUGACGGGGGUAGAGUUUGAUCAUGGCUCAGAAACUCAAAUGAAUUGACGGGGCGGGGAGAGUUUGAUUCUGGCUCAGAAACUCAAAUGAAUUGACGGGGCUCAAACUCAAAUGAAUUGACGGGGCCCCGAGAGUUUGAUUAUGGCUCAGAAACUCAAAUGAAUUGACGGGGGGGGGGGAGAGUUUGAUCCUGGCUCAGAAACUCAAAUGAAUUGACGGGGGAGAGUUUGAUUAUGGCUCAGAAACUCAAAUGAAUUGACGGGGCGGGGAGAGUUUGAUUCUGGCUCAGAAACUCAAAUGAAUUGACGGGGAGAGUUUGAUCCUGGCUCAGAAACUCAAAUGAAUUGACGGGGGUAGAGUUUGAUUCUGGCUCAGGAUAAACUCAAAUGAAUUGACGGGG
rnacentral:rRNA from 1 species